GGUCAUAUCAAAUGUGUUGCAGAUACCAAAACACUUAAUUGGGGCUGUUUGCUACAUAAGAUUAAGAAAGGAAAUUAACAGUCUUUGCCCUAUCAGAGUAACUAUGUCAAAUAUAGCUCCACCUGGACAUACAUCCAUAGCUAAAACAUAGUUCAUCAUGUAGGGCUAAGACAAGCAGAACACUGCUACCAGAAUGCACAUCUGAAGGGAAAAUUCUUGCUUAUUACUGAAACAUUCAAACACAACAUUGGCAGAUCAAAAAAGAAUAGAACUAUGCCUUGUAAAUAUAUUCCAAAUGGUGAUAGCUCGAGUGAAAUGUUUGUACCAUUAUUACAAUUGGCUGAUAAUUGGCUAUUUAGCAACCAGCCAUUUUAACAGAUUCACACCAGAUUCAAUUGACGCCGUUUGCUACUGAAUUACAUGUGUUUCAAUCAAGAUCAGAAUUGGGUCCGGGCAACAUCUUUAAGAACAAUGUUACAGCUUGUUUCUCCCGAUUAGAUACCGUUUGCCAGGGUGCAGGGGGACAUUCCAGCUGACUAGAUAUUAUUGAGAGGAUGCCGCAGAAAUUUGUGAAAUCUCGUGUCGUUAUUUAACUCCCAUCUCGUAGGAACAAGAGACGAAGCUGAUGACAACACACGCUCUCCCGAGAUUUUCAGCCUCUUCCACAAAUCAGAAAAACUUGCGAGAGGAUAGUUAAACUCGGCAACAAUCAAAACUAAAGACAGUUAUAAAACAGAGUAAGAAACUAAAGUAGAUGAUAGAUCAUGGCUCAGAUCGGUAUAACAGGUUUUUCAAUCAUGAAUUUUCAGAAGCAGAACUGGCAUGUUUGCUUGAAAUGUUUAUCAUCACCGCCAUGUACAAACAACAUAAUGACAGAAAUAAACCGAGAUCAGAAAGAAAAAGGGAUCUGGUAUUUGCAGUGGCUCAUAUUAAGAAAUUCAACCAUGUUUUCCCUUGUACUUCACGAGUUGAUCAGAAGCGCGGGUAAGAUUCUAAUCACAGCCACCAAACCACAAUCCAAGAUCCGAAACAAAAGAGGGGAAAACGAUGUGAUGCGAAUGUAUCCAUUACUCUGACACAGGCUGCUCAUCCACGCGUAGUGUCGCGGCCUGCAACACUGAACGGCGGUGUGGAUCUAGCACAGCAUUGGGGCUUUCCUUCAUCACAGCGGACCGAGAUCCGUCCGACAAGCCCGGGGUUAGCAUCGUGCAAGACAAGAAAAUUACUCAUCGGCAAGAGAAGAACGAGCAAAACGAAGGGAGAGAGAGAAAAAAGUGUACGCAAGCAACAAUCAUAUUGCCUACGGGAAGCCAUGGCAAUUGAAACGAUUUCUUGACGCGUCGAUCUAUCCCCUCCUCGCGAAGAUGGCGGCAUGGGGGCCGCCAACUUGUCAGGAAUCGAGAGGGGAAAACGCAAAUAAGCAGGAUCGAAUUUAUGAAAAAGAACGAAGAAAAUCGCGGAGGGGAAGAGAGGGGACGAGGGCGAGAGGUACGGGAUGAAGAUACGGCGGCGACGGCGGCGGCGGCGGCGGCGGAGGCGGGUGCUGGGAACCCUAGGAGGGAGAUGGGAUUGGAGGACCGCUU
rnacentral:rRNA from 1 species